rnacentral:rRNA from 1 species
UCGGCAAUGGGCGAAAGCCUGACCGAGCAACGCCGCGUGAGUGAUUAAGGCCUUCGGGUUGUAAAGCUCUGUUGUAAGGGAAGAAUGAUCAGGUUAGGAAAUGAACUUGAAGUGACGGUACCUUACCAGAAAGCCACGGCUAACUACGUGCCAGCAGCCGCGGUAAUACGUAGGUGGCAAGCGUUAUCCGGAAUUAUUGGGCGUAAAGGGUGCGUAGGCGGUUUAGCAAGUCUAUGGUGAAAGUUCGGGGCUUAACCCCGUAUUGCCAUAGAAACUACUAGACUUGAGUGCAGGAGAGGGCAAUGGAAUUCCAUGUGUAGCGGUAAAAUGCGUAGAUAUAUGGAGGAACACCAGUGGCGAAGGCGGWUGCCUGGCCUGUAACUGACGCUGAAGCACGAAAGCGUGGGGAGCAAAUAGGAUUAGAUACCCUAGUAGUCCACGCCGUARACGAUGAAUACUAAGUGUUSSAGAAAUUCAGUGCUGCAGUUAACGCAAUAAGUAUUCCGSCUGGGGAGUAUGCACGCAAGUGUGAAACUCAAAGGA